rnacentral:rRNA from 1 species
UACGAAGGGGGCUAGCGUUGCUCGGAAUCACUGGGCGUAAAGGGUGCGUAGGCGGGUCUUUAAGUCAGGGGUGAAAUCCUGGAGCUCAACUCCAGAACUGCCUUUGAUACUGAAGAUCUUGAGUUCGGGAGAGGUGAGUGGAACUGCGAGUGUAGAGGUGAAAUUCGUAGAUAUUCGCAAGAACACCAGUGGCGAAGGCGGCUCACUGGCCCGAUACUGACGCUGAGGCACGGAAAGCGUGGGGAGCAAACAGG